rnacentral:rRNA from 1 species
AUGAUGCGGUCGACGCAGUGGCAUCACCGUGGUGGAUCAGGAGAGGAGCAGGAAUCGGAGUGGACUGGACUGGAGUCAAGCUGGAAGUGGGGCCCACAUCACCGCCAGAUUCCGGCGGGCCCACCAAACAGCGAGCCGGCCAGCGACUGUCGGGUGACUGACUCUUCUCCCCCCUCCGUCUUCCAUCUUCCUCUUCCUCCCGUCACCUCACCUCGCCACCAAAUUAAAAUUAAACAACGCCACGCCGGAGGGAGCGGAGAGGGGAAACAAAAAUCUGGCCUUGGCCUCCGGGAGAGCAGAUUCCGCAACCUCCGGCGCCGCCGCAAGCUGCUUCGCUUCGCCCCUUCUCGCCCCGCUCCGGCGGUCCCCCGCCCGCUCGCGGUCGCCGCGCCACCAGGGCCAGGGUUUCCUGCUCGGCUCCGAGCAAGCAAGAUUCUGAAGGUGGUCGGUCCGUCAGUUGGCGCAAUGGGCGUCGUCGAGGAGCAAGACGUGCAGCAACCGGACACCGGCAGAAAGCCUGAUGCCGCCAUCGCCAAGCCGCCGCCUCCGGAAAGCGACCAGCAAAAACCGAGCAACCCCCGCGUGUCGACCUGCAGCACGGACAAGGACGACGGCCUCGCUCUCUGCCGGGUGUGCCACUGCGUGGAGCCUGACCUCAGAGGCGAGUCCGCUCUGGGUUUCCUAGGCAUCGUGCCGCCUUCCCCUGAUCCAUCCAGCCUCAAGACCGACAAGGACCCGGGCAACGGCGCCACCAAGACUUCCAUCAGCAAGGAUAGCGCCAAUGCUCCAACAUUUCUCGAGUUCAUAAGCCCCGAGGGGGAGAUCUUCAAGUGCGCCACCGACAUCGAAUCGGGCCAUUUGCACCCGCAAGACGACAUCGUGAACCUAGGGUGCUCCUGCAAGAACGAGCUCGCGCUCGCACACUACGCGUGCGCGCUCAAGUGGUUCAUCAGCCACGGGUCGACCGUGUGCGAGAUAUGCGGGAACGUCGCCACCAACGUGCGGCCCGAGGAUUUCAACACGGUGCUCGCGUCACUCAAGGACUACGAAGCUCUGAGGGAGAGGACGUCCACCGGGGACCUCUCCUACUUGCACUACCGGGCGGAGGCGUCCGUCGACCCGGUCGCGCUUGCCGCGGUACGGAGACAGCGGCUCUGCGAGAUAUCGUCAUGGUUCAACCCUCACAACACGCAUUUCGUGUUUUCUCAGAGUCAGAGGCACACCAACAACAGCGAAGAGGUGCCAGUUAGCCCGAGCAAUAACUCUGCAGACUAUAGUGUUUCGGCUUGGGGGCCAUCACACGGGGGUUCAAGUGUCGGGAGUACCGGAGCUUUUGUCGCCAUCGCCCUAGCUUUUGGUAUUCUUGCAUGGUUUGUUGCUCCACAUGUUGGCAAGAGAGCGGCUGCGAUCAUCCUUCACAUGCUUCUGGGAGGCCUAUGCUCGUUGACUAUAAUAAUCUCGCUGAGAUUUGUCUUCCCAAGAAUCCAGUUUGGGUCGAUGCGAUACUGGGGGAUCCUGUUCGUGUCCUGGUUCCUCGUGUUUGGAGUGUGGGCCUCGCGAACCCGCACCAUCCGCCGCAAUUCAUGA